rnacentral:lncRNA from 1 species
AUGAAGGCUGUGCUGAGCAUUGGGGUAGGCAGGGAGCCCCAUACCCCACUUAUGUGUCCAGCUGGCCCCAGGGAGCCCAGCCAAGGAGGUGUGGGUUGGGGGCACCCCAUGGCCAGGCAGGGGUGGGUGCAUGGAUUGGGGCUGCACAGAUGCUGUGUGUGUGGCUGCUCCUGCUGCAACCUGAGCAUCCUUGGGGCAGCGGGGGAAGGAAGCAAAGCAACCCCAACCCCAGCCCCUCACACCCCCCAGCCCUCACAUGCCCAUUGCCAUCCCCCAGCCCCAUGCAAACAUCUCCCAUCACCAUGCAAACCCUCACCCCAACCCUUUGCAUCCUCCCAGGACACGUGCAGCCCCCAACCCACACCUCCCCCCGCAGCUUUGCAUCCCUUGCAGAUCCCCGAACCUUUUACAGACUCCAUCUCUCUGCAGCCCCCAAACCUGGGGGCUGGGACGGGCAGGAUCCUGUCCCGGAUCCCUUCCACCUUCUCAUUCCCUACCCCCCCCCGCAUCUCCCCGCGCACCCCCCGCACUCCCCAUUCGGGCUGCGGUGCCGGUGCCGGUGUGGGGCGCCCCAUAGCGGCGGCGUUGGCGUUGCCGGGUGUAAGGCAGCGGCGCGGGCGGGCGGCGCUCACUCCGGGGCGGGCGGCGGCGGCUGCGGGCGGCCCAUCCCCGCACGGGAGCCCGGCCGCGGGACCCCGUGGCCGCUGCACGGUGCCGGGGGAUGGGCCGGAGGGCAGAGCGCAGGGGGCGAAGGGCCCCGAGGAUUUGAGCGGUUUCUCCGCUUCCCGACCCGCGUUCCUCCCGCCGUCCGUCCCUCCCACCCCCCUCGCCGGGGGCAGCGCCCCGACCCCCGGGCUGGCGGCUCCCGGAGGUUCCGGGCGCUGGGGGCAGGUGCCGGGGGGAGCCGCCGCCGUCUCGGGGCCGCGCUCCGCCCGCCUCGGCCUUAACGGGGCCGCGGGGCCGCCGGUUCUCCCCGCGGUGUCCGGCUCGGGACGUACCUCCUCGGGACGGUGA